rnacentral:ncRNA from 1 species
CGAAAGACGAUGAAGGGAAAAAAAUGUACUUGAUUGUCCCAGAGAGUCGGGGUAGGUGGGAGCCGGCACAUUAGAGUACAUAUAUAGCUCAUCCCGGAGUUUCAAUCCUGAAAAAACAGUAGGGAUUGACGUUAACUACGUUACAGUUUGGUACAAAUAAGUACCUAAAAAUGAGGAUAUGAUUUUUAUGUCAUAUCGAACCAGGGUGGUACCGUGAAGUUGACCCUUCGCCCCUGCA